CUCCUUUCUGCGCUGGAAGUCAAUGCUCAAUCCUCUGAGCCCUGUGCUGUGAUGACGUGCGGGUGAUCACCGGGCCCUGGUUUUAUUUCUUGAAGUCAACAGCAGAAGCAAAGAUGGAUCUAUACGACGCUAAUAAGGGAGGCAUUUAAUUAUGUAAAGCUGCUCCAGGAGCAGCUACUUUGAUUAGUUUGAAGCAGAAUAAAAGACCUAUAAAUGGGGAGAAUCCUGAAGGUAAGUACUUUCCUGUGGACUUAAUGUCAAGGUACGGCACACACGGUGGCUUUUACGGGGGCCAUUUAAAACUGUUAUCCAGCGUAUAUUUUAAGGACAGAGACAUAAUUCAGACAUCUGAUUGACUGCCUGGAAUGUUGAUUCAGCAA
ensembl:lncRNA